rnacentral:rRNA from 1 species
GUGGGGAAUAUUGGACAAUGGGGGGAACCCUGAUCCAGCCAUGCCGCGUGUGUGAAGAAGGCCUUUUGGUUGUAAAGCACUUUAAGCGAGGAGGAGGCUACCGAGAUUAAUACUCUUGGAUAGUGGACGUUACUCGCAGAAUAAGCACCGGCUAACUCUGUGCCAGCAGCCGCGUUAAUACAGAGGGUGCAAGCGUUAAUCGGAUUUACUGGGCGUAAAGCGCGCGUAGGUGGCCAAUUAAGUCAAAUGUGAAAUCCCCGAGCUUAACUUGGGAAUUGCAUUCGAUACUGGUUGGCUAGAGUAUGGGAGAGGAUGGUAGAAUUCCGGGUGUAGCGGUGAAAUGCGUAGAGAUCUGGAGGAAUACCGAUGGCGAAGGCAGCCAUCUGGCCUAAUACUGACACUGAGGUGCGAAAGCAUGGGGAGCAAACAGGAUUAGAAACCCCAGUAGUCC